GGGGUUGCCAAGGUCUCGACAUGAUCUAAUAAUCUUUUAAAGGCAGUGGGGUUUGCCCCUUAUAGCUCGAGGUCUUCUUAAAUGCAGACAAACAAGAAGCUAACGUUAACAUGGAUGAAGCUUUCAUGGCUAACCAAUUAGCAGCACAAAACUACAACUACGCAAUUGCCUAGUCGAUAGACUGUGUUCUUCGGGUAUUAGAGUUUACUAGUUACUUUAAUACAUUAUGAUAACUAGAUAUAUUGUUUCAAUGUUGAGUGAAACAAUGAAUUCCAUUCAACUACAGUCUAACAUAGGGUGUUCUAAUUCCUUUUGAUGUUAGAUGAACAGCUAAAUUAGGACUAAACUGUAGAAUUUAUUAGAGAGUUAAUUGUGGAAACGGGUUCGAUUCCCGUCAACUCCACCA
rnacentral:tmRNA from 1 species